GUGUGUGCGCAGGUCUGCGGGCGGGAAACCGCGGGAGCCGGGGCCGGCCGGGUGUCCGCAGUCCCGGGCCCGCGUCGCGGCGCAGCUGCGGAGCCCGCAGGUUGUGGCGGCGCCGGGGCUGCUAAGCCGCGCUCGCCCUGUGGUGCGCCCCCUUCCCACGCUCUUUCAGAGCGAACCACACCUUCCUGCUUUCUGUGCGUCCUCCCCAGCCUCAGCCAAAAAGGGUUAAGGACUGGGCCGCGCUCCGCUUCCCACAACGGGGUGCUGCUGCGAGUCCGAGUGCGUCCCAGGAACUCUCCACGGUGAUGCAGGCCCCAUAUUUUACAGGUGAAGAAGCCAAGACCCAGAGACCUUCAAGAUCUGACCCUCGCCAAGCAGUGGUACAAAAAUGCGAAUGAACAUGGGGGAGUGUAUCCCUAAAUAUUAUCAGCGACUGCAGAUCCAGAAGAUGAUUGGCAGGCAGCCCAACUUGAAGCUUUUUGUGCAGGCCUUCUAGGCAUGGUCAGCAACGUACUUAAAGGGUCCCUCCUCUUGACUUCACCGUCUUCUCAGCCUCACAGUUUGGCUGUUCCAUCAUUUCCUCUUCUCCAAUUUACUCGGCUUAUGAUGGGUUACCUCUGGAUAUGCCAAAAAGGGAAAACUGGCAGUCCACACUGGGCCAGAGAAGAUUGGGAACAUCCUUGAAACAAAAGGAGUUUCGGCAGCUGCUUGGGAAUAUCCCUCAAAGUCCCAGGCCCAAGGAUCUUUUAUCAAGAUUUGAGAGAGAGAAAGAGUGCAUGGGGGGGAAGGGCAGAGGGAGAGAGAAUCUCAAGCAGACUCCCCGCUGAGUGUGGAGCUUGACACGGAGCUGGAUCUCGUGACCAUGAGCCGAAACCAAGAGUCGGACGCUCAACCAACUGAGCCACCCAGGUACACCUCACAAUAACAGAACACUCACAUCUAUCUACUGGUUAUUGGUGAAUUGAAUACUUAUGUGCUAAGCUCUGGAUAAUGAAAGAAGUACAUGCUAUCCCUGUAGGUUGAGACUUUGUGAAUGUUCUAGAAGUAUGAAUAGUAAAAUUUUAUCUGACCUCUGCUAACAUGGGUCUGUCGCUGCCCAUUUCCACAGAGCAGUCUGACUGAGAUGGCUUUGGGGAGAGGGCGAAGAGAUGACAGAGGCCCUUAAGCCUUGCUGACUCUACAGAAACUGCACUUAACUCCUUCACUCCAGUGUCCUUAUUAACCAUUCCCUGGUUAGUUAUGCACUGUGUGGCACGUGGUCCACCCUUGCACUGUGCUCGACUAGUUUUUUUCUGAUUUCUGUCUUAGAGGAUUUUAACCAUGAAUCCCUUUACAACUUUCCUUCUAGACAGGUCUGUUGGGUUAAUGCCUCUGCAGACCUGGCCUCAGCCACUGCUACUCACUGCUUCCCCCAUCCUAACAGCUGGGCCAGAUGCCUUUCAGAGUCAGCAAAACCUGUUUUU